UACGUAGGGGGCUAGCGUUGUCCGGAUUUAUUGGGCGUAAAGAGCGUGUAGGCGGCCAGGUAGGUCUGCUGUGAAAACUCGAGGCUCAACCUCGAGACGUCGGCGGAAACCAUCUGGCUAGAGUCCGGAAGAGGAGAGUGGAAUUCCUGGUGUAGCGGUGAAAUGCGCAGAUAUCAGGAGGAACACCGGUGGCGAAGGCGGCUCUCUGGACCACAACUGACGCUGAGGCGCGAAAGCUAGGGGAGCAAACAGG
rnacentral:rRNA from 1 species